rnacentral:rRNA from 1 species
UACAGAGGGGGCAAGCGUUGUUCGGAAUUACUGGGCGUAAAGGGCGCGUAGGCGGCCUGCUAAGUCAGACGUGAAAUCCCUCAGCUUAACUGGGGAACUGCGUCUGAUACUGGUGAGCUUGAGUGCAGGAGAGGAACGCGGAAUUCCAGGUGUAGCGGUGAAAUGCGUAGAUAUCUGGAGGAACACCGGUGGCGAAGGCGGCGUUCUGGACUGCAACUGACACUGAUAAACGAAAGCCAGGGUAGCAAACGGG